rnacentral:rRNA from 1 species
GGGGUCGAACCUAGGUGCCGCAGCUAACGCAUUAAGUAUUCCGCCUGGGGAGUACGCACGCAAGUGUGAAACUCAAAGGAAUUGACGGGGACCCGCACAAGCAGCGGAGCAUGUGGUUUAAUUCGAAGCAACGCGAAGAACCUUACCAGGUCUUGACAUGCUAGUGACCGAUCCUUAAUCGGAUCUUUCCUUCGGGACACUAGACACAGGUGGUGCAUGGUUGUCGUCAGCUCGUGUCGUGAGAUGUUGGGUUAAGUCCCGCAACGAGCGCAACCCUUAUUUUCAGUUGCCAUCAGGUAAUGCUGGGCACUCUGAAGAGACUGCCGUGGACAACACGGAGGAAGGUGGGGAUGACGUCAAAUCAUCAUGCCCCUUAUGAUCUGGGCUACACACGUGCUACAAUGGUCGGUACAACAGGCAGCGAAAGGGUGACCUGGAGCGAAUCCUCUAAAGCCGAUCUCAGUUCGGAUUGUAGGCUGCAACUCGCCUACAUGAAGUUGGAGUUGCUAGUAAUCGUGGAUCAGAAUGCCGCGGUGAAUGCGUUCCCGGGUCUUGUACACACCGCCCGUCACACCAUGGAAGCUGGGGGCGCCCGAAGCCCGUGAUCCAACCCCUUUGGGGAGGAA